GUGCCUAAUACAUGCAAGUCGAACGAAACUUUCUUACACCGAAUGCUUGCAUUCACCGUAAGAAGUUGAGUGGCGGACGGGUGAGUAACACGUGGGUAACCUGCCUAAAAGAAGGGGAUAACACUUGGAAACAGGUGCUAAUACCGUAUAUCUCUAAGGAUCGCAUGAUCCUUAGAUGAAAGAUGGUUCUGCUAUCGCUUUUAGAUGGACCCGCGGCGUAUUAACUAGUUGGUGGGGUAACGGCCUACCAAGGUGAUGAUACGUAGCCGAACUGAGAGGUUGAUCGGCCACAUUGGGACUGAGACACGGCCCAAACUCCUACGGGAGGCAGCAGUAGGGAAUCUUCCACAAUGGACGCAAGUCUGAUGGAGCAACGCCGCGUGAGUGAAGAAGGUCUUCGGAUCGUAAAACUCUGUUGUUAGAGAAGAACACGAGUGAGAGUAACUGUUCAUUCGAUGACGGUAUCUAACCAGCAAGUCACGGCUAACUACGUGCC
rnacentral:rRNA from 2 species